rnacentral:lncRNA from 1 species
GCGCCAGGAGCUGGAGAGCCUGCGCAACGGCAACGGCUCCUCCUCGGCUGCCUCGUCGGCCCCCGCCCCGGCCCGCUCCUCGUCGGCCAGCUGGCGCGACGCCGCCCCGGCCUCGUCGGCCCCUGCCCGCUCCAGCUCUGCCUCCAAGAAGGCCGUGACCCCGUCGCGCAGCGCCCUGCCCUCCAACUGGAAGCAGGAGCUGGAGAGCCUGCGCAGCAGCUCCCCCGCCCCCGCCUCGUCGGCCCCCGCCCCGGCCCGCUCCUCGUCGGCCAGCUGGCGUGAUGCCGCCCCGGCCUCGUCGGCCCCCGCCCGCUCCAGCUCCUCCAAGAAGGCUGUGACCCCGUCGCGCAGCGCCCUGCCCUCCAACUGGAAGCAGGAGCUGGAGAGCCUGCGCAGCAGCUCCCCCGCCCCCGCCUCGUCGGCCCCUGCCCCGGCCCGCUCCUCGUCGGCCAGCUGGCGUGACGCCGCCCCGGCCUCGUCGGCCCCUGCCCGCUCCAGCUCUGCCUCCAAGAAGGCCGUGACCCCGUCGCGCAGCGCCCUGCCCUCCAACUGGAAGCAGGAGCUGGAGAGCCUGCGCAGCAACUCCCCUGCCCCCGCCUCGUCGGCCCCUGCCCCGGCCCGCUCCUCGUCGGCCAGCUGGCGUGACGCCCCCGCCUCGAGCUCCAGCUCGAGCGCCGACAAGGCCGGCACCAACCCCUGGACUGGCAAGUCCAAGCCCGAGAUCAAGCGCACCGCCCUGCCCGCUGACUGGCGCAAGGGCCUGUAAGCAGCUUGCCUAACCAGCAGCUGGCUUAAAGCAUGAUGC